CAAGUUUAACAGGUUUUAGGAGACCUGUUCUAGUUAUGACAUAUUCUAGUCCUAUCCAAGGACCACUAUUGAUUUAUUAUAUAUUUUUCAAAAUAUUAAAACGUGAUCAUGUACGGACAAGGCUAAAUUGAUAUACGGUCUUUUGGUCCAAAGUCCAAACACAGUAAUUGAUUCUUAUUGAUUUGUGUUUUGAGAUGGAACACAUGCUACCAAAGGUGUUUUGUAACAAACUAGAAAGUGAUGUUCUCAUCUUCACCCUAUUUGGGUCGAGCUUUCAAGUAAGUAACUUAAGCGUGUGAAUGUCAAAAAGUAGAGGAAGAGCAAAGGGUUUUAGGCAAAUAUGAUGUGAUACUCUCAACAACUUUGUUUAUACCUAACCCUUCGAGAGAAGCACGCAUAAAUUAUGAAUAAUUAGAGAAAAAAAUACAUGAAGAUAAUUUACAUGCAUAAUGAAGGGUUCUAAGUGAUCAUUACAAUGUUCUUUUUAUUUACAUAUAAGACACUUGAAAUAUGAAGGAGAAUGUUAUAAAUAAAUUAGAUAUGGGAUAUAACGAGAGAAGAUAGACAAAACGGACAGAAAGGCAAAGACUCGACAACUUAGGUUCAAUGAAGUGUGAGGCCAACCCUAAGAACGAGCCUCACUGGCGUGAACCCCUUUUAAACCUUGACGACAUAAUAAAACUUGUUAGUAAAUUUUUGGAUUUUUGAUUGUUCAUAGCUUAUACAGUCAUAAGGAGGUCUUUCUCAGGGAACUUGUAAGGAGGUGGUGGUGAGCUUGAGAUGCGGAUCAAGCUUGAUCCUGACAAUGGAACCAUCUGUAGAAGCCGGAAACCGAAUUGAAAUAACAGUAAUAAAUAAAGCGAUAUUAAGGAAAGAAACGAUUGUAAAACUCCGAUAGAAAACGAGAAAACAAACGUUUACAGAAACAGACAUGGAGUCGAGAUACGAUCUCUUUCCUUAACUCUAAAUAUUUGCUCUGUAGUGAGACGGAACUGUACGAAUAUCGAGUCUCAGGAUACAACCAUGGUAAACGAUUCACCCUUCACUCGUGAAUGCCCUAACGAACUAUAAACUCUACGAAACAUUCUCGAACUAUUAUCUUGCGCUAAGGAAUUUUCUCAGUUGGUUUUCAAAGUAAAAGUAAUAAAAAUGAAUGAAGAGAGUCGGGUUUAUUUAAAGAGAAGGAGAAGAUCUACUUCCCGCAACAGCUGAUGUCGUGUGUGCGAGAAUCUCGCGGAGAUUGAAAGAAGUUGAGUUUCGAAACUUCUUCCGCAAGACGCUCUCUUCUCGUUUAAAAAAUAUUUUGGGCGAACAGACAAAGUGCGUUUUCUUUUGAAACGAACUACACGUCGUUUAGAACGAAUUGGGGGAUGUUUUUUAAUUCGAAAAUGGGCGAAAAACCAAAAUUAAUUUGGUACCAAAAAAAACAAACAUCAUAGGAUGAGAUAUUGAGAGCGGUCUCAGUGACAUCUAGGGAUUGACAUCUAGGGAUGUCAAUUGGACGGACUGGGUGGAUUUGGGCGAGUCCGGAUGGACUUAUUUUUUUCUGGGUGUUUUUUGGUCGAGCCCAAAUAGCACCAUGUCCAAAUAUGACCAUGUCUAAAUAGGACCAUGACCAGGUGGACUGUCCAUGGAGUCCAGUUGUCCAUUUAAUGUAAAAUGUCUAAUUUUCAAACUUAAAAGAUGUACAGAUUAGAAAUGUCAUAUAUAUAUAACAUCUUAAACUUACUUAACUUUCAUGUUUUACAAAAGAUACUUAAACUUAAAUUUCAUGUUUCACAAAAGAUACUUAAAAUCUUAAUCUUAAACUUAAAAUCCAUGUCUUACAAAAGCUAA